rnacentral:tRNA from 1 species
GGGUCGUUAGCUCAGUUGGUAGAGCAGUUGGCUUUUAACCANGAAUCCCACACGACCCACCA